GGAAGCAUCUAGAAAUAAUUAGACUUCUCCUUCCUUAAAAGAACCAAGCAGCCUCAACGUGUCUGAGACAAAAUCUCCAGCCUAAACGUGUCUCUUUCCACCUGCCACAUUUCAGCUUCCCCUCAUCUCCUCCCACACGUUGCUGAAACCAUCGAAACCCCUUGCCACAUUUCGGAUUAGGCGCAACACGUUGAGUUCAUGCCCAAGCCCUUCAGCCACGUUACUCUUCUUCUUUCCCUAUAUAACCCAACGACCUCGCCCUCCUGCGACACUCCUCAGAAAACCAACAAUCGCACACCUCCGGAAAACCAGCAGAUGACACGAUAAGCCGAAGUCAUUUCUUUGUAAUGGAGUAGGCCUCGCAAAGAGCAAUAGAUCGUUGUGGACGAAUCUAACUUUAGUAUUGAACAUUAUGUGUUUUUUUAAAAAUUCUUGGAAAUAUAUUGUAAAUAUAUAUAAAUGCUUUUAAUUAUAUAAAUGUUUUAUAAGCUCUA